UACGUAGGGUGCAAGCGUUAAUCGGCAUUACUGGGCGUAAAGCGUGCGCAGGCGGUUUUGUAAGUCUGGCGUGAAAGCCCCGGGCUCAACCUGGGAAUUGCGAUGGAGACUGCAAGGCUUGAAUCUGGCAGAGGGGGGUAGAAUUCCACGUGUAGCAGUGAAAUGCGUAGAGAUGUGGAGGAACACCGAUGGCGAAGGCAGCCCCCUGGGUCAAGAUUGACGCUCAUGCACGAAAGCGUGGGGAGCAAACAGG
rnacentral:rRNA from 1 species